GUUUGAAUUGCCAUGUAGAAUAAUCCUGAAGCACAAAACUCUUAAUCAUUUCUUCUUCUCCUCGCUGAGAUGUCAUAUGUCCCUGAGCUUCUUUUCCCAAACUUCCCUUCACACACAACUCCAAAGUGUUUCCCUCCCUCACUAUAUAUAUGUGUGUGUGUGUACUUUGAGAAACUGGGUGAAUGACUCUUGUUGUAAUUUUACCAACAGGUGAGGUGCACACAUUGGUUGCAGGAAGAGAUGCCUUGAAAGGUGAAAAAUCUGAUAGUAAAAAUGGUAAUGACAAUUGGGCCAAGCUAAUCUGUGGUGCUAGCUUUGAGUUGAUUGCAUUGAUUGUGCUGCUGAGACAUGGGUUGUGAAUGCCAUAAAUGAAGGAAUUGAAGCAGCCAGCGGAAUUGUGCCUAUUUGCAGGCCUGGGUAAUGAUCAGUGUCAAUGAUGAUGAAGAUCUACAUUUUCGUAAAGCCGAAUUUGAUCCGAAUGAUUGUCCAUUGGAUUGCUCAAGGCCAUGUAUGGAUAUUUCUCCUGCUAAUGCAAUCUUGAAUUUAAGAGCAGCUAUUGGAGCCAAGGCAGGAUGCAUCGUUCAGAGAUCUUUGGAAUGGUUUGGGUGAUUCAAUUGAUAAUCUGAGGCUUGUGGCAGCAAAUGUAGUAUCCGUUUCCCUGUUUAUAGACGAUUUUAGUUAUUUAUAGCGUUGUCAAAAAUAAAAAUGAGGAUUCAGAAUCUUAGUUGAGUUUUUUGGACCGGAAGAUGCAUAUACUCUUAAUCAAAUGCCGGUCAGCUUUCCUGAUCUUAGAGAUUCAACCAUAUCUGUCAUGAAUGCUAUGCAUUCUGCAAUGAAGGCAAAUCUGCGUUGCGUCAAAUCUUUGGCAAGUGGGAGCCGUGUAAACUUGAUGAGAUUGGAAAAUAACGGACAAUCCGUGAUUUCUGACAAGCUGAAUAUCUGCUGCUAAAUGCAGUUGGAUGGAGCCAUGAGCGGAGACAUUGGACGAGGUGCCACAGUGGAAGCCAUUGCUUUUGCUUCGUAUAUAGCGGCAGGGGGAAUUAAGCCUAAAGGUUUAUGGACGAAGUUUUUUUCUCCUUGGGUGUUUUUUAGCUAGCUGAGUGCCUACUGAUUUCAUAUUUGAUUUACAAUACUGAAAUGGAUUGGACGGUAUAAUAGAUAAGAUCUUAUCUUCGUUCUUUUAGAGUAUUGAGUACUUUAGUUUUCACUCUACCAAACCAUCGGUGCCUCCAUUGAAUAACUUGGACAUGGAUUUUAUCUUUCUAUGUAUGAAUCAAACGUUGGAACCGGUGAAUGAUAAGGCGGAUGGUUCGAUAAA